rnacentral:rRNA from 1 species
GACGAACGCUGGCGGCGUGCCUAAUACAUGCAAGUAGAACGCACAGUUUAUACCGUAGCUUGCUACACCAUAGACUGUGAGUUGCGAACGGGUGAGUAACGCGUAGGUAACCUGCCUGGUAGCGGGGGAUAACUAUUGGAAACGAUAGCUAAUACCGCAUAAUAUUAAUUAUUGCAUGAUAAUUAAUUGAAAGGUGCAAUUGCACCACUACCAGAUGGACCUGCGUUGUAUUAGCUAGUAGGUGAGGUAACGGCUCACCUAGGCGACGAUACAUAGCCGAACUGAGAGGGUGAUCGGCCACACUGGGACUGAGACACGGCCCAGACGCCUACGGGAGGCAGCAGUAGGGAAUCUUCGGCAAGGGACGAAAGUCUGACCGAGCAACGCCGCGUGAGUGAAGAAGGGUUUCGGAUCGUAAAGCUCUGUUGUAAGAGAAGAACGGGUGUGAGAGUGGAAAGUUCACACUGUGACGGUAUCUUACCAGAAAGGGACGGCUAACUACGUG